UAAAUUGUAAAAUUUGCCUCAGACAAUCUAGGGACGCCGAGAGAGAAGGCAGCUUGGCCUGGGAGCCAUUCUGAAGGCCUGGGUCGGAAGAAAGAAAGAAAGGGCAGCCGCGGCUAGAAGGCCCGAAGAGACAGGCUCCGUUUCUGAAGCAGAAAUGGCAAAGCCUUGUGAAACGGACGGAAGAAAUAAAGGCAAAAUUUUUGAAAAUUUCCACAGCUUUUUCUGAAGGGACCAGCGCUGAAUUCAAGUCAACGUGAAGAAAGAAACAAAAGGUUGAGAGACAGAGGACGGAAGAUGCUUGAAGACGCCCUCGCAAGGACACCGCCUGCCUCCCAAAAAAGGUCGUUUUCAGGGUAAUUGGUGUAAGGGUAGGCAUUUAAUGUCUAUCUUUGCAUUAAAAAAAGGGUUACCUUUGCACACGGUUCCCCUCGCGUGUGGCAUCGAAGUCCCACUCGGGAACGGACGGGUCCUCCCUUUGUUCUAGGCAGAUGAUGGGUCUUCCUAUACGGGCCGUAGGGGUCACAGCUUGGGGGUCAGCGGGGGGGCCCGCCCUGGCAUCGCGGGGGGCAGCACACGUUACGGGCAUUUUAAGAUGUCCUUGCAACUUAGAAAUAAAAAUAUUAAUACCUUAACUCACUUACUAACAUCCUACUAACACCAUUCUAAAUAGGGUACCCUGGCCUUUUAAAUAGGACUGUUCUGCCUGAUGGCAAGAACCAAACUGGGAAGGGAGGGGGCCUCCUGGCCCCCCAUAAAAGGGCCCCCAUGUAAGGACAUUGCAAAAGGCCCCUAAGGUGUCCUGAGAGCAGCCUCUUGGUCCUUAGUGUGUUCCCCACGGAGCCAGGUCUGGGCCCCUUGCUCUCCCCCAACCCAUGGACCCUGCCGCUUGUAUAUCAUCCGUCCAGGGCCAACGGACGCCCCCUCCCUCUCCGGGCGGAGCUUCGAGGCCACACUCAAGGGGAGACCAGAGCCGUGUGCCUCAUGCCAACGCCUAGCACGUGGCGAACCUUUUUUUUUACUGCAAACAUAGGCAUCAUGAUUGUGAUUUUUGUUAAUUCCUUUUAAAUUUAAUUGUUUGUAUUUGAUAGCAUGGUAGGCUGGUUUUAUAUCAGUGAGCCGCCCCGAGUCCCUCUGGGGAGACGGUGGCAGGGUACAAAAAUAAAAUUAUUAUUAUUGAUUCGAGGCACCUGGAAAAAGAAAUACCAGGAAGCAGAUAAAAUUAUUAUUAUUAUUAUUAUUGAUUACAGGCACCUGGAAAAAGAAAUACCAGGAAGCAGAUAAAAUUAUUAUUAUUAUUAUUACUGAUUACAGGCACCUGGAAAAAGAAAUACCAGGAAGCAGAUAAAAUUAUUAUUAUUAUUAUUGAUUACAGGCACCUGGAAAAAGAAAUACCAGGAAGCAGAUAAAAUUAUUAUUAUUAUGAUUAUGAUUAUUAUUGAUUCCAGGAAAAAGAAAUACCAGGAAGCAGAUAAAAUUAUUAUUAUUGUUAUUGUUGUUAUUAUGUAGGACCCCCUUUUAUUUAUGUAAGGCCACACACCCAGGGGACCACUAUUCCUAAUUAAAGCCUGGUUAAAGGGAAUCCUCUAUUCUUAAAGUUAAGCGUAUAGAGAUCGCCUAUCCAGAAACUAACGCGGCCUGCCCUAUAGAGAUCUGUUAAACCAAGGCGGCCUGCCCUAUAGAGAUCUCCUAUUUCACGUAAUACCAGGCAAUAUGGAGAUCCCUGGUUUUUUUAACCGUUAAAUCCCUUACGUGGGGAUAUCCCUGGUUUUUUUUAACCGUUAAAUCCCUUACGUGGGGAUAUCCCUGGGUUUUUUUAACCUUUAAGUCCCUAACGUGGGGAAAUCCCAGGUUUUUUUAAUCUUUAAGGCCAGAUGUGGGGAUUUCCUUGUUUCUUUUAACCCGUAAGGCCAGCCAUGGGGAGAUAUCUUAGGCUGUUUUCACGAAAAGUCAGGUAUAGACGCACUGUUUUCUCUCCCGUUCCAUGUGCCUGGACUCCCGGAGGGCUCCUGCCGGACACCGUCUCCCAUCGGCCGAGAGGGAUCCUUCUUGUCUGGGAAGGAUCUGCAACACAGGUAAAAAGAAGAUUCCGGGAAGGAGAUUCUACAGCGGAGCCCUUAAGCCAGGUGAGACGCUCCUUCCAGCCUCCACGGCUGCCUUGCACACACACACACACACACACACACACACAUGAGACACACAAACACACAUGACACACAAACACAUACACAUGUACAGCUGGUGCCCACGGGGACUCUUCCCCAAUAGAUCGGGGACUCCCACUCCGGCGAUUGGCCAUUGUAAAUGCCUUGCAGUUUGGGGCUUCCGGCCAAGCGCUUGCAAAGAGAAUCCAUUCAAGGUUGGACCCCCUUUUAAAGGGCCUGGCACGUGGUAUUUAUUCCUGGCACGUGGAAAACUCCAUUUGUAAGGCAAACCCUCGUUAAAGGAGGUUUGCAAUUAAUUUAAAACCAGGCUUCUGAGGUACCCGCUGCGUUUAAAGCCAACCUAGCAGGUGGGAACCCCUUUGGUUAACGUAAGGCGAGGGACCCUCCAUAUUUAAUAAGAUGCCUGGCAGAAUCUUAACCUAAAUGCAGGCCUAUGGGCUACAGCCUAUUCUGCAUAGCCAGGCAUGGGGGGACCCCAGAUUAUUAACUUGAGGCCUGGGAAAAGGAGAUUUUUGUAUUUAUUUAUUACAAUAUUUAUAUCCCGCCCUCUCUCCCCUUAAAAGGGGACUCAGAGCAGCUUACGUUAUAUUUACAUAUUUAUUUAUUACAAUAUUUAUAUCCCUCUGUCUCCCCUUAAAGGGGACUCAGAGUGGCUUACAAGUUAUAUUUACAUAUUUAUUUAUUACAAUAUUUAUAUCCCGCCCUCUCCCCUUAAAAGGGGACUCAGAGUGGCUUACAAGUUAUAUUUACAUAUUUAUUUAUUACAAUAUUUAUAUCCCGCCCUCUCUCCCCUUAAAAGAGGACUCAGAGCGGUUUACAAGUGAUAUUUACAUAUUUAUUUAUUACAAUAUUUAUAUCCGGCCCUCUCUCCCCUUAAAAGGGGACUCAGGGCGGCUUACAAGUGAUAUUUACAUAUUUAUUUAUUUAUUACAAUAUUUAUAUCCCUCGCUCUCUCUCCUUUAAAAGGGGACUCAGGGCGGCUUAACAAUAAGACGCAUGUAUAAAAAACCAUACAGUGCAAUAUAAAUCAUCAUUAACUUACAUCAGUAUUCAUAAAACACAUUAUAAAAUACAGAUAGGUGUGUUCAGUUCAAAUCCAUUCAAGGUAUACGUGGACCCCCUUUUAAUGCCAACCUUUCCACGUGGAAAACUCCAUUUGUAAGGCAAACCCUUGUUAAAGGAGGUUUGCAAUUAAUUUAAAACCAGGCUUCUGAGGGACCCGCUGCGUUUAAAGCCAAACCUAGCAGGUGGGAACCCCUUUGGUUAACGUAAGGCGAGGGACCCUCCAUAUUUAAUAAGAUGCCUGGCAGAAUCUUAACCUAAAUGCAGGCCUAUGGGCUACAGCCUAUUCUGCAUAGCCAGGCAUGGGGGGACCCCAGAUUAUUAACUUGAAGCCUGGGAAAAGGAGAUUUUUUAUUUAUUUAUUUAUUUAUUACAAUAUUUAUAUCCCGCCCUCUCUCCCCUUAAAAGGGGACUCAGAGCGGCUUACAAGAGAUAUUUGCAUAUUUAUUUAUUACAAUAUUUAUAUCCGGCCCUCUCUCCCCUUAAAAGGGGACUCAGAGCGGCUUACAUGAGAUAUUUACAUAUUUAUUUAUUACACUAUUUAUAUCCCGCCCUUCUCACCCAACAGGGGACUCAGGGCGGCUUAACAAUAAGACGCAUAUAUAAAAAACCAUACAGUGCAAUAUAAAUCAUCAUUAACUUACAUCAGUAUUCAUAAAACACAUUAUAAAAUACAGAUAGGUGUGUUCAGUUCAAAUCCAUUCAAGGUAUACGUGGACCCCCUUUUAAUGCCAACCUUUCCACGUGGAAAACUCCAUUUGUAAGGCAAACCCUCGUUAAAGGAGGUUUGCAAUUAAUUUAAAACCAGGCUUCUGAGGGACCCGCUGCGUUUAAAGCCAAACCUAGCAGGUGGGAACCCCUUUGGUUCACGCAAGGUGAGGGACCCUCUAUUUUUAAUAGGAUGCCUGGCAGAAUCUUAACCUAAAUGCAGGCCUAUGGGCUACAGCCUAUUCUGCAUAGCCAGGCAUGGGGGGACCCCAUAUGAUGAAUUUGAAGCCUGGUAAAAGGAGAUUUUUGUAUUUAUUAACUUAUUACAUUUAUAUCCCGCCCUCUCUCCCCUUAAAAGGGGACUCAGAGCGGCUUACGAGUUAUAUUUACAUAUUUAUUUAUGUAUUACAAUAUUUAUAUCCCGCUGUCUCCCCUUAAAGGGGACUCAGAGCGGCUUACGAGUUAUAUUUACAUAUUUAUUUAUUUAUUACAAUAUUUAUAUCCCGCUGUCUCUCCCCUUAAAGGGGACUCAGAGCGGCUUACAAGUUAUAUUUACAUAUUUAUUUAUUUAUUACAAUAUUUAUAUCCCGCCCUCUCUCCCCUUAAAGGGGACUCAGGGCAGCUUAACAAUAAAACGCAUAUAUAAAAACCAUACAGUGCAAUAUAAAUCAUCAUUAACUUACAUCAGUAUUCAUAAAACACAUCAUAAAAUACAGAUAGGUGUAUUACAUACACUGUAUCAUUAGCAUCGCACAAUAUUAGCAUUAUAUACUACAUUGCAUUAUACCACUAUACAGAAAUAUUAUUAGCAAUAUUACAUUUAAUAUAUAAUAUGUAAUUCAUAUUAUUAUAUUGUAUCAUUGUUAGUAUUAUAUUGCAUUAUUUAUUUAUUUGCUAGAUGUAUAUGCUGCCCUUCUCACCCCCAAGGUGAAUGGCUUACAAAUUAAAUUUACAUACAAUAUUAUAUUAUUACCAUAGUACAAUACCGGCAGUAAAUUACUAUAUUGUACUAUAUGAAUAUAUGGUAAUAUUAUUAGUAGUAUUACAUGCAAAAUGUAAUACAUAAUUAAUAUUAUAUUUAAUUAUUAGUAUAUCGUUUUACAAUAUAAUAUGAACAUUAUAUGUAUAUGCAAUAUGUUAUAAUUAUAUAUUAAAUUUUAUAUAUAUAUACAUAUAUAUACACACAGUAGAGUCAUCCAACAUAAAUGGGCCAGCGAAUAUUUAUUUAUUUAUUUACAGCAUUUUACCGGGCUGGCCUUGAACUCAUGACCUCCUGGUCAGAGUGAUUUGUUGAUAUUUAUUAUUCAUUUACAGCAUUUAUAUUCCGCCCUUCCUUCUCACCCCGAAGGGGACUCAGGGCGGAUCACAUGACACAUAUAGGCAAACAUUCAAUGCCUUUUAACAUAGAACAAAGACAAACAAACAGGCUCCGAGCGGGCCUCGAACUCGUGACCUCCUGGUCAGAGUGAUUCAUUGCAGUUAAUUGCAGCUGGCUUGCUUUCCAGCCUGCGCUGUUGGAUAAUGAGGCAUUAUGGAAAAGCCUAUUAAACAUCAAAUUAGUUGAUGAUUUUACAAAUUAAGCACCAAAACAUCAUUUGACAGAAAAAGUAGUUCAAUAUGCAGUAAUGCUAUGUAGUAAUUACUGUAUUUACGGAUUUAGCACCAAAAUAUCACGACGCAUUGAAAACAUGGACUACAAAAAUGCGUUGAAUAAUCCAGAAUGUUGGAUAAGAGAGUGUUGGAUGAGACUACUGUAUAUGCAAUAUAAAUUAGAAUAGCAUGUUAUUGGGGGAGGAGCAUCUUGGUUAUUAGAUGUUUUUAUUAGUUAUUGAUAUUAGUAUAGAUAUGACAUUGAGUAUAUAUUAUCCUAGCACACUGUUAAUAUUAGUUAUUGAUAUUAGUCUCCAUAUGACAUUAAUAGAGUAUAUUAUUAUUCUAGCACAAUGUUAUUACAUAGGACCAUGUUGUUGCUAGGGGGAGGGCCCCCCCACUGAUUGUAUUAUUAGUAUUAUGUUGUUGCUAGGGGGAGGGCCCCCCAACUGAGAUCCCCUGUCAUUAAUGUGUCAGACCAGGCAUUUCACUCCUACCUUUGCAUCAGAAAGCAGGCUCCCUGUGCGCUAGGCCUUCCUUUGAGGAACACAUUCACAGCUCCGCUUGAGUGUGGCAUUGAGGCCCCACUCAGGGACGGGCGGGUCCUCCCUUUGCCCUGGGCAGAUCGUGGGGGGUGGGCGGAUCUCCCUAGACGGGUUAGGGGGUCGCGGCUGGCGGGACAGCGGGAUAUAAAAAUAUAAAUAUAUAUAUAUAAACCCUUGCACUCAAGGAAACAACUCUGGGGACCCGAGCGGCUGCUCCCAGCUCACGUCACGGGCAUUUUAAACAUCUCAUAGCAGCUCAGAUUAAUACCUGAACUAACCUUAACCUGCUAACCCUACUAACCCAUUUCUAACUAGAGCAGGAAUUUUAAAUAGGGCUGUUUUUGCCUGUUGGCAAGAACCAAGCUGGGAGGGGGCCUCCGGGCCUCGGGUGGGAAGAACCCUAACCCUGUCCCUGCCCUGCGCUGGGAGCGCCCCCCCUCGGGACCCCAGUGUUUGGUCCCCGCUCUCCCCCAAUCCGACGGCCUAGAAAGCCCCUCCGCCAUCCGCCCAGGGCCAACGGACGCCCCUCCCUCCCUCCCUCCCCGGCAGCCGCGUUCCUCAUGCAACAGGGAGCCUGGUUCUGGAUGCAAACGUGGGACCCCCUUAGGACCCCCUUUUCUCUGUGCAGGGACCCCCGCUCCCCAUAAAUAAAUGCCUGGUGGAAGGGGAUCCUAGUAGAAAAAGCCACAGUUCCCAAGAGCCCCCAAAAGCGAGAUGCUCCCUUGGUUCAGCCCUUCUGACACUUGUUUUCUCCCUUGUUCUAUGUCUCCGGAAUCGCCGAGGGAGGGGCUCCUCCUGGACAAGAGCCAAGGACGGACAGAUGGAUGGAUGGACGGAAGGAGAUCCCAGAGAGCAGGACGCCUUGCCGUUCUGGCUGCUGAGCUCGACCCCUUUCCAACAAUGUCAGCGUUCCAGAAUAAAACUCUUUCCAAAAAAAGGUGUUUUCUGGUUAUUAUUCAAACGUUUAAUUUUUGACAGCCUUAAACAUCUAGAUUACAAUACAGUUUGUGCUGCUGCCUUUUAUAAACCUUGUUUUCUACAAAUAAAGUCAAGAGAAAACACUAUAAGUUUUGCACUGUGCUCAGACUCAUUGUUCUGAUAUUCUGUUAUAUGGUUUUAUUAUUUAUAUCGUUUUUAAUGUAUGACUUUAUUACAUGUGACAUGGGAGCGGGGUAUAAAAAUAAAGUAUUAUUAAUAAACACCACAAUGUUCUUGCACCCCAAGUACAUCUGGCCAUUGCCAAAGAGUAUUUAACUCUGCCUACAUGGCACUAAGUGUAUUUAUAUGUUGAUUGUUUCUAUUGAUUUUAUGUAAUGUUUGCUUUAUUUGCAUUGAAUUUUUGUCUGGAUGUAUCUUGUAUGCCGCUCAUCUCCAUAAAUGAGCGGGAUAGAAUGAGGUUAAUAAUUUUACGAAUGUUUUAAUGUAACUUGAAUUUUAAAUUGAGUUGAAAUGUGACUGUAAUUGUUUAUAAGUGUUAUCUAUUUGUAAGCCACCCUGAGUCUCCUCUUAUUGGGUGAGAAGGUCUGGGAAGAAAUACUGUCAUAAAUAAAUAAAAUGUUCUGUGUCCAGGUUGCUUCAUGGGUUGACUUCUCUGGCAGGAUUAAUCUGCAGGGCCUUUCCUGUGGGAAAGUUUACACAGGGACUAACAAGCAUGGAGCAGGGAAGGCACUGCAGACACUCCUGCGCAUGCGCGGACUGCUCCCUAGUAGAAACUUGGCCCCGCCUACUACAGCCAUCCUUUUCCCUUCUGCGGAAUUUGGCCCCGCCCACUACAGGCAUUCCCUUCACUUCUGCGUCUGCGCGGCCUCCGUCACAGAGUGGCAAGAUGGUUGCCCGGCCCGGUCCAUGGAUGUGUCAGGGUUGGCGACGGAAGGGACGGGUUGUGUGAUGGACCUGCCGGGACUUGGGGGCGGGGCAAGGGGCGUGGCCUGGCGCGUGAGAGCCGGGGAAGGGAACAGCCAAGAUGGCGGCCGGGGUGAGUGAGGCGAGCGAAGCGCCGCUGAGGAGAACCAGUGGCCCAUGUACAUGCUGGACUACGGCGGCCUCAAUGUUCCGCUUCCGGGAGCCAUGAAUUAUUCGGACCUCAGUUUCUGAACCAGAACCUCCGAACAAAAGAAAACAAAAGAAAUAAUGAACGGUGUGUAAUUUUCGUUUGUACAAAGUGUAUAUUAUUCCAAUAUGUAUUGAUGCCUUUCAGUUUUUCCAAUGAUUUUUACACUAUAUUCCUGCUGCCAGGGCCUUUUUAAAUAAAAAAAGAAUAAGAAGGGUUGCCUUGCUCUGAAAAAUCAAA